rnacentral:rRNA from 1 species
CAGCAGCCGCGGUAAUACGGAGGGGGCUAGCGUUGUUCGGAUUUACUGGGCGUAAAGCGCACGUAGGCGGACUUUUAAGUCAGGGGUGAAGUCCCGGGGCUCAACCCCGGAACUGCCUUUGAUACUGGGAGUCUUGAGUUCGAGAGAGGUGAGUGGAAUUGCGAGUGUAGAGGUGAAAUUCGUAGAUAUUCGCAGGAACACCAGUGGCGAAGGCGGCUCACUGGCUCGAUACUGACGCUGAGGUGCGAAAGCGUGGGAAGCAAACAGGAUUAGAUACCCGAGUAGUCCCUGUCUCUUAUAC